rnacentral:misc_RNA from 1 species
AAACCAUAUAUGAUAUAUUAUAUACACAUUAUAUAAAAUUGUCAAUGAUUUGUUGUAGCCUUUUAAUUCUCAUCAUCGAGAAUACGUAGCCCUGAGAAGUUUAAUAGAUUUCUCUGAGGAAGGAAUUUCAUCACCUUCAAAAGCAUAACAGUACACGAGUACAUGCUUUUAUUAAACCACUAUGAAUCUUUUUAUUCCAAGCUAACCUCGUUGUAUUACCUAUAAGGCCCUUUCACUAGUCAUCUUCCUUGUAGGUUUCAUCUCUUGAGCACAAUUACAACCGUGGACACAUCUUCCCUCUAUCUACUUCAAAUCUCAAAGCAUUCCAAGGACAUCCUCUAGAAAGAGGAGGUUUACUCAAAUUAAAUUGUAUAAAUAGUACAGGAGAGAACCAAGUCCGCAAUUGAACUAUCAAUUCACAUUGAGGCUCACCUUUCCAAGGGAUCUCCUCUAUUUGAAUAAAAAGGCGUAUACACAGCUGCAGCAAUUUUGUACCGCAGAUUGUAUUUCUGAGCAAUUAUUGGCCUAACAUCUUCAACCCCAACUAAGCUCUCCAAAAAUGGAAGCAGUAAAAGCAAUUCUUGAUCUGAACGAUCAUCAAACCAGCUCUCAAUUGGUAUACCAUUGUCCACCUGGAACCCAAAUGCCUGAGGAGAGUUAUCGAUUAUAAUAACACGUGCCAAAUCUCGGCCAAGAACUGACAAAUCUUUGAGGUAGUUCCCCUCCACAAAAACACAAGAUUCACGGUAAACACGAUGGCGGAAUAUCUUCCUCUUUGGAUCAAGCACAUUUAGUAGCUGCUCUGCAUAAAUACUUUGACUAGCUGUAAAUAUGAUGAUUUCAAAAAGAGUGGAAACUCUCUCCAAAAAAUCUUUGAGGUAAGGACGGCAUCGAACAUAGACUGAAUGCUCCUGGAGGUUAAAGUUCACAGGAAAUGUGAAGUCUGCAUCGUCACAAGGUUCUAGUGUGGAAUGCACCAAAGUCUCAUCCAAGUCUAAAACAAGAGUAACAGGAGGGCAGCUCCGCGUCUGUUUAGGUAGCAGCAUUGGCCGAAAUGUGGGAACUACUGAUGACAACUCAGGCAAGUUCUUUAUAAAUACAUAAGGAUCAAAGUCAUCAAAUUCCCCAUAGUCAUCGUCCUCCUUAGUUGACAUGCAAUCUUGAUCAUACUCAUCAACACAUUCCAAUUUUGAAUUCUUCAUGGCAAGAUAUAUAGCUGAAACUUCAGAUGAAAGGCCAGCUUCUUCUGAAUUUCCAUUAGAAGGAUAAUUCACAGUAUUUGUAUCUAUAGAAAACAUUGAGGAUGAUGUGUUUGGAUCAUCUCCUAUGUACUUAUGGCAUGUCUCCUUCUCAUCUUCUCCAGAUGUAGAUUCUAAAGUGUCUCGAGCAACGUGGCCAUCCUGCAUAUCAACUUCUGAGCAGCAUGUUCUACUCUCCUGGUGUAAUUUCUGUUCCCCACUUCGAAACAAUUUGAUGAAGUUGACUCCAUUGGCAAUUUCACCUCCAGCAAUUUUCGAAAUGCGAAAAGCAGGGGAAAAUAUGCAUAGUUCCUCAUUACAACCCUGCAAUAAAAAUUAAGAAAUCAUACAACAAAACCUUUACGGUCCUAAUAUAAAGUGUUCUUUGUUUACACUAGUUCUUUUGAUGUAAAACAUUUCCUAUGGCUAUUACAUUAAACAGCUCCUAUGAAAUAUGAUCACAAAAAAUAAUGAUGAGCAUAUCAAAUUACAUGAAUACAUUGACAAACCCAAAGAAAAUAUCAUCACGCCUAGUUUGUGGACAAUUACCUCAUGAUCACACAAAGAAGCAGCAUUAGAUGUCUCAUUAUGCACUGAGCUGUGCAUAGUAUUCAAUUCUGUACCUGCAACAGGCUCCCCAUUUUUCUUUUGAAGACUGCCAACUGAGUUUUGGAAGCAGAAGAAAAUAAACUAAUUUCAUAACAGACAGGUUACAUUAAACUAGUAAAUACAAAGUUUAACACUUACAAAAAUACAAAAUGCUGACUUCAAUGCUACUCCUCCCCAAAACUCUAAUGUGAGAGCUGAUAAGGUGAUAUGAAAUUUGACACAAUCAUGACAUAAGAGCUCCGUAUGUUUCACAGAAAUAAAUUGUCUAUGAGAAAUAAUUUCUAAGAAAAUGUCUAUUUUUUAUUGUUUGGUGGCAAUACUAAAGAUCAGUUUGAAAUCAUUGUUAGGCAUUUGGACUUCGGAGUAUAUUAGAAAAUACUAAUUUAUUUCAGUGCAUAAGACUGUUAAAAUGUUUGCAUUUAAAAACUUCAUAUUUUCUAUUUAUAGUGAAAUAUAAGAGAAAAUUGUAGAAAAAAAUAAUAAUAAAUUAUAAUCACUGUUAGAGAUCAAUGAGGGCCACCAGUGGCUAAUGAUGGCUGGAGAUUUCUCCUAUUGCUAUAAAUUUGUGAAAAUCUAAUAAUUACUUACCAGUUUGAGAAAAAAAAAAGUAAAUUACUUUUAUUGAAAAUGGUCAGUUUUCCCUUUGGCUGGGAAAACAUUCAGUUAACCAAUUUCCUUAUUGUCCAAACACUAGAAAUAUGGAAAAUGAUUUCUUGCAAAAAUAUUUUUACAAAACAAACAAAUCCAAAAAGGUCAAAUGCACAAAUAUGAAAGAAAGCAAUCAAAAUUCCAUGUGUAAACAAAAGGAUAUGUCCUUUAUUAGAAGAUUUAAUGUCUUCAAGACAAUGAAGAACAAAGCAUGACCAAAAGAAUAGUGAAGGAAAGGCAGGGCCAGUUGAAAUGUCCAUUUUAUGGUAAAUGUACGUAAACAAGUGGUGUAAUCGAGUGGGAAAAAGGAAGUUGCGAGAAGGGGGGGGUUAAAGGGCGGAACAAAAAAGAAGACCAAUCAACAUAAGCUGACCUCAAAUAUAACCACGUGUUGCUGAAGUUGAAUAAGCUUAGGGAGUCUCAUCAUAGAUAUGCUAAAUGCGUAAAUUACAUUUCAUUGGGACGAACUAUAUUGCACUGCAUCAUCUUGUUGGAUUAGCAAUUAAUUUUACCCACUACCAGGCAUUACAUUAAAUGUUUCAUGCUGAUACUGACAUGCAUUUUAGUAUUGAACACGUCCAGGAUAAAACAAGUCUAACAUAAGAAUUUAAUUGGGAAGUACAGUUAAUAUACAGUCUUUUUCAAUGAAAAUAAGAUAACCCCAACAGUGUUUAAUGCUCAAAAGCUACAGCAAGCUUAGCAAGGUUCCUAAAUACACCGUUAGAAAGAACGCAGCGUA